GAUGAACGCUGGCGGCGUGCUUAACACAUGCAAGUCGAACGGAAACAAGAUGAAACCUAGUGAUUCUUGUUUUAGUGGCGGACGGGUGAGUAACGCGUGGAUAACCUGCCUUAUACUGGGGGAUAACACUUAGAAAUAGGUGCUAAUACCGCAUAAGCACACAGUCUCGCAUGAGAGAGUGUGAAAAACUCCGGUGGUAUAAGAUGGAUCCGCGUCUGAUUAGCUAGUUGGUGAGGUAAUGGCUCACCAAGGCGACGAUCAGUAGCCGGCCUGAGAGGGUGAACGGCCACAUUGGGACUGAGACACGGCCCAAACUCCUACGGGAGGCAGCAGUGGGGAAUAUUGCACAAUGGGCGAAAGCCUGACCCAGCGACGCCGCGUGAAGGAUGAAGGUCUUCGGAUUGUAAACUUCUUUGAUCAGGGAAGAAAGAAAUGACGGUACCUGAAGAACAAGCCACGGCUAACUACGUG
rnacentral:rRNA from 1 species